rnacentral:lncRNA from 1 species
GGGAGGCUAGGGAUAGCAAGCCAGUAAUUAAUAAUAGGCUCUUUUCACCAAGGGAUUGGGUUAAGGGUAAAUAAGAAAGUAUGCAUGACAAUUAGAUAAAUAAGUGAAAUAAAUAAGAAGAGUAGAUAUAUGAGAGUGGAUAAGAUGAAAUUGUAAACCCCCACAACACAAUUCAUUCAUAGUUUCUCAAAACCAAUUGAAUCAACUGCAUUGCAUGUUUAUUUUUGUUCUUUGCAUAUAACCACCAAAUUUAUUCUCUUCUCAAGUCUUACGCGAUUAGGUUACAUGAAAG